GAAGUACAACAAUUGAAAGAUAGAGAACUGAUUAGGUCAUAGAGUAACUAUGAUUGUUCAUAUAGUUAUUGAUGUUAAUUUAUUGGGUUGUUUUCUUGGAUUAUUGAGAUUCUUGAUGAUUUCAUGAUUGCAAUUACUUGGCCAAUGUUCACAAUUUUUCAAAUAUUUGUCUCAAAUUUGUGAAACUACGUCACUACUGAUUCGAUUUAUAAAUGAAUGGAAACUCAAAUUCACUUCAGUUUGAGUUCAACUAACAAAAGCGACAAGGGUUAUUUUGUAUUGGAUUCACUCCUCAGAGUUAAGCUUUUUGCUUGUUACUUCACUUUCUCAGGAGCUCUUCAAAUCUUCCAGACGUUCACCACAAAGAAACACAAUGCCGAUCAUUGGAUCAUCAUCAAGAUUUGUAGCGGGGAGGAAUGCUGUGCAGACCGUGUACUGGAGAGCUGUCAAAAACGCCAACGGAGAAGAGCAGGCAAAGCUGGUAAAAACCAACAAAACCUUCAGCUACCCUGAAAACAGUCAAGAGUCGUCUACGAGCCAAAAGAACCAACCCAAAAGAUGAUUCGGCUCAUCACAUUCAACUUAGGAUAGGACUAGGAUUAUUCAACAUAGGAUAAGAUGGAUGAGAGUUUUGAUUCAACAUUACUUGGGGAAUGGAGAUUAUCGAUCAAAGUAUCAUUCUGGACUCUUGUAAUAAUAUAUUUUGUGAUAUUAACAUUAAAGUUAAACAAAAUGGAAAGACUUUGACAUUCUUAAGAUUUUUCCGAAGACAUUAAUCUAUUACAAGAGUGAUUCCUGUUGAUUCUAGCAUAAAAUUACCAGGACUACUGACCGGAGAAAUCAGAAAAUAAAUUUUAUUUUGUUUUGAAAUACGCAAGAUGAUAGGCCUAUUAUAAAAUCUAAUUUGAAAUUUUUAUACGAAAUCUGUCUUUCUCUUAAAUCUCCCAGUGUUCUCUUUCAGUUGAAAAGUCACUGUCAAAUGAUAUUGAUAAAAAAUUGUUGUGACUAUCCACAGUAAGAUAUGUUAACUUAUCAACUUUUACAACCCUUAACUCUCAAGUGAAGGAUUCAGCCUGGACUUACAGGUGACAGCUGAGUUUUUUUUAUUGUUUCGUCUGUUUUUAUAUUUUUGUAGGCAAUUAUAUUAUAUUCAACAUAAUUAUUGUGAAUAUUUCUGUGGGUAAUACACUGAAAAAUCGUUCUCAUUUUUAGUAUGUAUCAAUAAUAAGAAAAUGAUAAUUUGAACAUA